rnacentral:rRNA from 1 species
UACGAAGGGGGCUAGCGUUGCUCGGAAUCACUGGGCGUAAAGGGCGCGUAGGCGGCCAUUCAAGUCAGGGGUGAAAGCCUGUGGCUCAACCACAGAAUUGCCUUUGAUACUGUUUGGCUAGAGACCGGAAGAGGUAAGUGGAACUGCGAGUGUAGAGGUGAAAUUCGUAGAUAUUCGCAAGAACACCAGUGGCGAAGGCGGCUUACUGGUCCGGUUCUGACGCUGAGGCGCGAAAGCGUGGGAGCAA